ACACGGCCUACGCAGCAAGGGCCAGCGUCUCGGCUGGGGGCACGGCCCGGGGGGCCCCCCCCCGCUCCCCCGGAGCGCCGCCGCCGCCUCUCGCGCACCGGGCGGGUCGGGUUCGGCUGCCACCCCGCCGGGGUCACCCCCGUGACGGCGCGGGGGGCGCUCUGCGCGCGGAGACGGCGGCGACCGCUUGCAAGGCGACCGGGACAGGCAGCGCCCUUUUGUGUGAAGUGUGGGAUCAUCAGACCAUACUGCAUUCUCAUCCCUGUGGGCACGUUCACCGGCUCGGCCCUGCUGUGGGCGGCUUGGAGCCUCUCCACCUGCGUGAGGAGAGAUGCCAGGCAGCUCCCAGCCCCUAUGCUGUGCUCUCUUCUCCAUCUGGACUGGUAAGGGACGGGAGGAAGAAGAUCCCCUUGACCAUCCUGGCUCUGGGCUGGGGUGGUGGUGUGCUGGGCAGAGCCUCUUAGAAACCGGUCGGGGACGACUAAGGACAAAGGUGUCUGUGUGUUCUUGGCAUGGCUGCUACGAAGUCUGUAUAUUUUGAAAGAAACUAGCUCACACAAGGAAGAGAAAAAUCAUGUUUCUCUACUCAUCUUUAAUCCCCUUCGCUCAGCGCCACGCUGGUUUUCUUAUCUGGGCCAGUGGCGCAAUGGAUAACGCAUCUGACUACGGAUCAGAAGAUUCCAGGGUUCAGCGGUCCAAGUCCACGCCCAAACAAUCGACAGCGAUGCCGUAACCGACAGAGAGAAGCUGCGGAAGGAAGCGGGCCACGCGGCAAUCACGGAUCAGGAGAACAAACCUCCCGGAGGGAGAAGCGGCUGGUAGGCGAUGAGCCCUUCACACAGCGACAGGGACGACCUGGAUCUCGUGUGUACCAAGGCACCAGGUGUGAGACCGACGGUGGAAGAGUGAGGGAGGAGGCCGAGAGAAUGCAGCCUCAGGAAAGAGAAAAGGGUCUGGGGUCAGCGGCUCCUUCCAUCCUGGCUGUGCUGUGGCCUUGUAGGAUCAUGUUGCCCAAACUUUGCCUUUUAAAGUUUGGAAGAGGAUAGGCGCCUGGGUGGCUCAGUU